AGAAUCAACGCUGGCGGCGUGCCUCAGACAUGCAAGUCGAACGAUUAAACUCCCCUUCGGGGGAGAUAUAAAGUGGCGCACGGGUGAGUAACACGUAGGUAAUUUGCCUUCGGGUGGGGAAUAACAGCCGGAAACGGCUGCUAAUACCGCAUAAUGCAGCGGCACCACAUGGUGACAGUUGUUAAAGCGGGGGAUCGCAAGACCUCGCGCCUGAAGAGAAGCCUGCGGCAGAUUGGCUAGUUGGUAGGUAAUGGCCUACAAGGCUACGAUCU
rnacentral:rRNA from 1 species